CACAUUUACUCGCUUUUUUGACAACAUCAAAUAAAUAUUGUAAAAGUAGGUCUAUAAAUUCCAUCUGUUUGGUAUAGUUCAGCAUGGUAAAUUCGAAAUUCAGCCUUGAGUGACCAUGGCGAAUACACAGCCCGCGACGACGACGGCUCCGCGCAAAGAUAAGCGCAUUGAGCGGGACGAGAACCGCGGCCAAUGGAAUUCCAAGUCGGAGUUCAUCCUCUCGCUCCUCGGAUAUGCCAUUGGCAUUGGCAAUGUGUGGCGCUUUCCCUAUCUCUGCUACCGCAGUGGCGGCGCCGCCUUCCUGAUUCCCUACAUGCUGAUGGUCAUUUUGGCCGGCAUACCCCUGUUUUAUAUGGAGGUUCUGAUCGGCCAGUUCUCGAGCACCGGAUGCACUGGCAUGUUUCGCAUGACGCCUCUGCUGAAGGGAACGGGCAUCGCCCAGGUGGUGGUCAAUGCCUACUGCGUGUGCUACUACUCGGUGAUCAUAUCGUAUCCCGUCCGGAUGAUCUUCUACUGCUUUUUCAAGCAGGUGCCCUGGGAGGACUGCAGUAAUUCUUGGAAUAGCGACAAUUGUGUGACCGUUUCUGACAUGGGAAAGCAAAAUAGUACUGAUGGAUUUACAACUUCCGCCGAUGAAUUCUUUCACUUGGAAGUCCUUAGAAUCUCAAAGGACAUCUCUGAACUGGGCGGCAUGGUGUGGGAACAAUUAGUUGCCUUGAUAGUCACCUGGAUUAUUAUUUACUUCUGCCUAAUGCGGGGAAUCAAGUCGGUUGGCAAGGUCGUUUACUUCACGGUACCCUUCCCCUACUUGCUGCUCUUCAUUCUGCUCGUCAGAGGAGCCACUUUGCCCGGCGCCUGGAAAGGCAUAAAGUUCUACCUGUAUCCGGAAUGGGACCGCCUGCUGGACCUCAAAGUCUGGGCCGAUGCCGCCAUCCAAAUGUUCUUCGGCAUCGGACCUGGCUGGGGUGGUAUCGUCAACAUGGCCAGUUUCAGCAACUUUCGAAACAACGCCAGAUGUGACACGAUUCUCAUAGUAUCGAUCAACGUGUUCACAAGCAUACUGGCUGGAUUUGUGGUCUUUUCCGUGUUGGGAUUUCUUUCUGAAAAAUCGGGCAUUCCCGUGGAAACCGUGGCCACCGGAGGAGCUGGACUGGCCUUCGUCACGUAUCCGGAGGCCAUUGGCAUGCUGCCUGUCCCGCAGCUCUGGGCGCUCAUGUUUUUCUUUAUGCUCUUUUUGCUGGGCAUCGACAGUGUGUUUGUACAACUGGAGGCCAUCAUGACAUCGAUAUUGGAUGAGUGGUAUUGGGUGAGAAGUCACAAGUGGAAACUGACGCUCGUUUCUUGCUUUAUCUUUUUGGCAAUUUCCUCCAUAAUGUGCACAAAUGGGGGCAUGUUUAUUCUUCAGCUGUUUGACUGGUACUCCUCGGCGAUAGCUGUAAUAGUCAUUUGUCUGGUGGAGAUUAUAAUGGUCGCUUGGAUUUAUGGCAUUAAAAAUUUCAUGUUGGAUGUCGAAUUUAUGCUCGGAAGACGCCCAAGUCUAUAUUGGAGAAUUUUGUGGCAGGUCGUCACACCCGUUAUACUAAUUUUUAUACUUAUAACUAGCAUUGUAUUCAUGAGGACAAUCACCUAUAACAACAUCCCAUACCCCCCAUGGGCCAUUAUGAUCGGCUGGGCUAGUUGUAUAACAUCAGUCAUGUGGAUACCGCUCUACAUUUUCUAUAUCAUGAUCCGUAAGCGGGCCACUCUAUGUGACAGCCUAAAGAAACGCCUCAGGCCCUUGGACUGGACCCCAUCGGAUCCGCAAGAUCGUGCGGAAUACGAGGCCUUCCGAAGGCAACGCAGAAUGCCGGGAUUUAUGUCUGACACAGACAUCGAGUCCACCAAAUAGAAUAAUCUAUAAUAUAUGUACAUUUUUUAUUGGUAAAAUAUUUACAACAUUUGUACGCAUGAAGAGGUACAAGUAGAACUUGCCAUACUCUAUUUGAGCCAAGAUCAGUUUCACAAAUAUUUGGAAGCAACAAGAAUCAAACAUGCCAGCUUUUCACAAAUGUUGUUGUAUUGUAAUUUUAUUAUUUGUCUUUCCAAGUUCUAUUGAUAAGCCAAAUGUAGUUGUACAACGCCCACAAUUAGAAAAAUCCACAGAACAUACUGUUAGUAUAGCAUUUAAAUGUAAUUAAAGAGCACUAUGUUUUAUUCA